GAGUUUGAUCCUGGUUCAGAACGAACGCUGGCGGCAGGCUUAACACAUGCAAGUCGAGCGCCCCGCAAGGGGAGCGGCAGACGGGUGAGUAACGCGUGGGAACGUACCUUUUGCUACGGAAUAACUCAGGGAAACUUGUGCUAAUACCGUAUGUGCCCUUCGGGGGAAAGAUUUAUCGGCAAAGGAUCGGCCCGCGUUGGAUUAGCUAGUUGGUGAGGUAAAGGCUCACCAAGGCGACGAUCCAUAGCUGGUCUGAGAGGAUGAUCAGCCACACUGGGACUGAGACACGGCCCAGACUCCUACGGGAGGCAGCAGUGGGGAAUAUUGGACAAUGGGCGCAAGCCUGAUCCAGCCAUGCCGCGUGAGUGAUGAAGGCCCUAGGGUUGUAAAGCUCUUUCACCGGURAAGAUAAUGACGGUAACCGGAGAAGAAGCCCCCCGGCUAACUUCGUGCCAGCAGCCGCGGUAAUACGAAGGGGGCUAGCGUUGUUCGGAUUUACUGGGCGUAAAGCGCACGUAGGCGGACUUUUAAGUCAGGGGUGAAAUCCCGGGGCUCAACCCCGGAACUGCCUUUGAUACUGGAAGUCUUGAGUAUGGUAGAGGUGAGUGGAACUCCGAGUGUAGAGGUGAAAUUCGUAGAUAUUCGGAGGAACACCAGUGGCGAAGGCGGCUCACUGGACCAUUACUGACGCUGAGGUG
rnacentral:rRNA from 1 species